rnacentral:tRNA from 1 species
CAACUAAUAGUUUAUAAAAAACAUUUGUUUUGGAGACUUAAAAAAAUCAAAAUUUUAGUUGA